rnacentral:tRNA from 1 species
UACGGGAUGGCCGAGGAGUUAGGCGGAAGAUUGUAGGUCUUCUUACGGAAGAGGUUUCCUCCUGUGA